AGAAACCGUCUUGAGAAGCAUUUUUGACCGUUGAGAUGCUUUCGCCAGAAAAGUGGACAAGGAUGAUGAAGAAGAAGACCGAUGGAGGGGGUGAUGAUGAUGAGGCUGUGGAUCGUUGACACGUGUAUGGACACGAUUGAUACAUAGGUUAAUGCGCGUGGAGAGCUUGUGGUUAUUUUAUCAUCGAUAUUCCCGUGAAUAGAGAUGAAUAUCAUGGCCCUAUUUGUUUUUUUUUUUUUGUAUUUAAUAUUGAUGCAUAUUUUUUCUUCUUUUAUGUGAAUUAAGUACUUUCACAUGUUUCAUUAACUAAUUGACCUAAUAUGUUUUCCAUAACUAUUUAUAAACAAUAUUAAUCACUUUAACUUUUAAUAUUAGAGCUGAAAUUUGGAAAAUCACUUUGCAUAUAAUAAUAUAGAUAUGAUGGGUAUUUAAAAAUUAAAUAACCAAUGUAUGAUAUAGUAGUAACAUAUAAAUCAAUUUUGAAAGAGGUGGCAUGCAUGUUUUCAUAUAUACACUAGAUUAAAAAUUUAGAGGAAAUUCUAACUUUACCUUGAUAUUACUUUUCAAAUUUACAUUUAAACGAUAAUCAUUUUAAUAAAUACCUUAUGUUUAUUAUGAAAAUAAAACAAAAUUAACUCUCCUGAAUCAUUUAUAAAUGUUUUAAUUUUUUUUUAUAAAAAUUUAUAAACUCAACCACACCCUCUAAAUAAUAAUUUCUAAACAAUACUCACUAAACUUUAAAACCCAAAUAUUAUAAUAUUUUUCGAUAAAUUUUAUUUUUUUAUUAAUUGUAUCCAACUUAAGGUAUUUCAAGAAAUUUCUCAAAACUUUAUUCGUCUUACGAUAAAAUAUAAUUGUGUACUUCCAUUGGGAUUUAACUAGUUUCGUGUUGGAUAUUAACCGGUACUUUUAAAUUUAAACCUUCACUAACUAAAAUAUAAAAUAUUUUUAUUAGAAAAAACAUAAAAAAAAAAGUUAUUUUCUCAGUGAGAUUCCAACAUGGUAAAAAUUAAAAAAAAAUAUUAUUUUUUCUUUGAAAUUUAUAUGAAAUAAGUACUAAUUAUAAUAUAAUAUUUGUUAAUUUACGCUACCGAAGAAAAAAAAAGUUAAAAGAUGAACGACAUAUUAAUAUUUGUUAUUUAUAUUUAUAUUUGGUAACAUAAUACAAUUUAUUAUGCCACAAACACUAACAACAAUUAAUAAUAUUAUUAUUUUUCCUGUGAUAAAGACGUGUAUUAAUAUAAAUAUUAUUUGAGUUCCAAUGUAGAUAAAAAAAAUCAAAAUAAACACUCAUUCUUUCUAUGCCUUUGAUAAUGCAUGCAUGCGCACAUCUCAUUUUGCGGAUCCAUACAACGACCAAUCCCAAGCCUUCCCCUUUCUUUGGUACAUUCAGCUGAACAAAUGGUCGUAUUACAUUUUCCAUUUUUCGGUCUGUAUAUGUGUUCACAAGGAAAUCUGUGUCCUUGAGCUUGAGCAGUCGUCAUUACUCCUGUUAUUAUAAUAGUUAAAACAAAACUUUAGUUUUCGUAUUUAAAUAGAAAUUAAUGUUUUUGGUAAAACAUAUGCUUAGAGAGUUUUUUUGCAUAUUUAUAAGGAAAAAAAACUUAAAGUAUGAACAUCUUCUUUCUUAAUCAUUGAUUAUUCUGGAAAAAAUUUCUAAACCCAAAAUUAUAGAAUUCGAUAAAAAAAUUAUAUCAGUACAUAAAAUAAUAUGAUAUCAGAAUAACAUUAAUUUUAAAUAAUUUUUGAAUAUAAUAAUAAAAUUGUAAAUAUAAAUACCAACCGAACAGAAGAACUGUGACCAUAAAGAAACCAAUAAUCGAAGGUUGAAAAGAAUUUUUCAUCUUAGAUAAUGAACUAGAGGUGUUUUAAAAUUACAAAGAAAGAGAAGUAUAUUUAUAGAUGAAUAAAAAAUUGAAACAUAUCUAAUUUAAGCUAUGUACCUUCUAAAAUUCCGUUAUAAAAGAAAUCUAAUUUGACCAAAACUCUUUUUCAAAAAUUUAGAUUUUUUUUUAUAGAUAAAAAAGUUGAAUUAGUCAUUUUUAAUAUAUUUAAAAUAUUUCUCGAUAUAUACAUAAAAACAACCAAUCGUCAAAGCUCUGUGAGGCGCAAUAUACAAAGUGUGAAGAUGAUGUGGAAGGCACGGUCAUGGUUCAUCAAAGAAUACAAUAACAGGCUGUUCAACUGGCUGGUUGCGCUCUCUCUAGUAAUGGUAGUGGUCGGACGGUUCAUUAUAAAGUUCAUUUUGUUAAAAAUGGCGGCCCAUGGAUACUCUUUAUAUUCUGGAUACAUACACAAGGAUGUUCUGGACAGUAGAAUCUCUUUUCUACAACCCAGUCUGUAACACCUCCGAUCCGGACUAAAUAAAAGUUAAUUAGUUUGCCAUGCACCAAUCAAACAAGAAUAUGCACGACGAUCUAAAGAACUCUAACCAGAUCGAAGAUACUACUACCACGUGCCCGAACAUUUGAUCUGAGGUUCCCAGAUCAGAUCUGAAAUCCUAAGAUCAUAUGUCCAAGAACGGGUUUCCUAGCGAUUCCAAGUUAAGGCUUUGCAACCCGAGUUUGAAACCGUUAGUUAGUUCGUCCCGGACUAGGACUAGUAUCAUAUGGAAUCCAAGCAUUUCACAAACCCCCCCCCCCCCACCUUUUUUUUUAUUCAUAUAUACUUUAAGUUCAACCACAUCGAAAAUUUAUACAUGCUCGGCCGAUGUUUAAAACCAUAUCUUACAUAUUACAAAACGUACAUGUUUGCAAAAGGUAGCAAAUCUACACCAAGAGCUUUGUGCUCCUCCGAUCCCAAAUGGAACCUACUACUACGGGUUACCUGCAAAACAAAGAGUCUAAUGAGCAACUAUUUUGCUCAGUGAGUCGGGUUUCUUAACAAUUAUUUAUCCCCCCAUUAUGCAUCAAACAUUAAGCAACAAGGAUCGAUUAUAUUAAGAAAUAUGCAAUGCAAAAAUAAAGCAAUCAUGUAAACAAGCAUCCACUCUUCACGAGUGGUUAGAUCAUUAUCGAUCAUCGAGGAGUGCCUCUCGCCAUUGGUUCUUAUCUCGAUACGAAGUCCAUAACACAUCCCUUCUUGCGCCCAUUGACCCUAAACACAAAGUCUAAAAAGCCGAUGACCCGGAUAACACACUUGCCGCAUCGUCAUGCAGCUUUUUGAUUUUUGAUUCACUAAUUUUGGCUCAAAGGUUUAAAAUAGAUUAAAUAAAACCACUGUUUUGAAAAUCAGACUCACUCGACAUUAACCGGUUCAACCAAGUUUUCUAUUUUUUUCUAGCUAAUUAAAAAUAUUAAUAUAACACUCUAUAACUGAUUUAUAUAUUUUUCAAUAUUUUAAUUAUAAAUAUAAAUAUAAACAUAUUUAUAUUAGGUAAAAAUAAUAUGAUAUGUGCCAUACAAAAAAUCUUUAGAUCAGAGAAAAAAAUAUCUUUUAUUUAAAUUUUUAAAACGAACCGAAUUAUUGAUUUUAACGAAUUUAAUUGGUUUUGACGGUUUAUUUUAAAUCUAAAUUUUAAAGCGACUUAGAAGAUAAAAUGAGUCAUUGUUCAACUGGUUCGGUCCGGUUAAAUAAAAACUAAUUUUAUUAUUAUUUGAAAAUAAUUAAAAAUCUUGCCUUUUUUCUUUUCUCACUCUCUCUCUGAGUGUUCACACUGUAAGUUGAUCUUCAUCUUGAAACUUUGAAUCGCGUAAUGAUGAUCAAGCAAGUUAAGUAGCCUAGCUUACUACUACUACUACUCCACCGGAGAGAUCUGGCCCUCCGUCUCAUUAACGAUGAUCACCGACGCCGUGAAUCCUCUCUCCGCAUCCGACCACAAAAGGUAUCGCCUUUUGUAUCUUCUCCUUCAUUGAUGAUAUAUCAUCUAAUGAUUAGUUAUCUCUGUGGUGCCAAGCCAUCAACUUUUUAAUGUCUCAAUGGAUUGUUGUAAUAAAAGCUGCUAACGGAGAUUCUUGUCUGAAUUUUCUGUGAGAACAUGUCAAAAUCUACCAGGUUCUUGUAUCUCCACAGUCUUUUUAAUUUUUCUACUCUAGAUACCUUCUUACUUACUUACGACUCACGAAAGAUACCUUCUUGUGAGAACAUGUCAAAAAGAAAACCUGGUUGGUUGCUAAUGCUCUUUGUUAUAUACUUAAAUUUGCAGUUCAACAUCUAGAUUAUCUUGGAGUGCAGGUGGCUUGUGUUACAGCGCCAUGGUUUCUUUCCAUCUUCAUCAAUAUGCUUCCAUGGGAAAGUGGUCAGGUUCCAAACCUUGAUCUUGCCAGAUUUUUUAUUGAUCAGCUCUUUAUUUUUUUUAUAUUUAUAAACUUAAGAUCUUAAGUUACUUCCUUUCGCAAGAAAUUUCGAAAUUAAACUAUUCUCAUGAACCUAGCACAUGCAAGCUACAUAUCACUAUUUGUUAAGCGACUUUCAUCCCAUCAAAUAAUUCAUUUCCACAAACUUGUAUCAUUCGUCAACUACUUUUAUAUCUACACGUUAUUAGUUCCCAACGUAGCAUGCGAAAAAAAAAAACAUAGCAUGCGGUGUUCUUGAAAAGAUAUCUACACGUUAUGGUGGUGUUGUCUCAUUCGAUACAUUCAAAUUAUAACGACAAGUUUCGGAAAUUUUCUUCUAACGAUUUAAGGGAAGAUUAAAUAUGAUCAUUGGACUAGAGGAAACGAACCAACUCCGGUGUAAGGCUAAUAGAGUUGAGGAAGCGAUUCAGGACAUGGAUUUAGUCCUUGUGUUAAUUAAUUAUUAGCUACACGACUGAUUUAUUUAUAAGGUGGUGUUAACUGUUAAUAUUGGCCAGCAGUGUAACUUCAUUAAGAUGCUUAGUGAGAUGGGGGUCUCCUCCUUAAUUAUGUGUUACUUACACCAACUAUAAUGUCAUUCUUGUCUGUCGUCCUAACCUGUAUUUUUUUGUUCAUGGCGUUAAUCAACUUGUAUAGAUCAUUAAGGUACCAUACAAUUAGUAUCUGUUGUGUAAUGAUUAUACUUGACUUUGUUCGUGUAUUGAGUAGGUUUUGGGAACACCACCAACAAAGGGAAGAAAUAUAUCAAAUGCAUUCAAUACUGUCCCAGUCUCCGUUGUGAGUAUUUGCAACUUCUCUCACUUUCCUUCUUCUUGCAACAUCUCACUUAUUUUUAUUUUCUUGAAACUUUUGUGAUCUUGCCACUUAGCUCGAUACAUUGGUCCACCCGUUCUUUGAUGAGCUUAGAGAUCCCCUAAUGCACGUUUCUUUCCUUCCACCACUAUUCAACUUCAAGCCUCAUGGUACUAACUACAUUCUUCCUUGUCUUCCAAAUUGUUGCCCAAGUGACUUAAAACUCAUGGUGUUUUUUUUUUUCUUUUUCUUUAAUGUGUUGUGUGUGAAAGCAGAGCUUAAAGGUGUGCGCGUGCCCGUGGAGAUAAUGGCUAAGUUAGUACCUGAACAUGCAGAGGAAGCAGGGUCCAUGGCUCGGUUUGUGAUUUUAUCUGCUGUUAACUUGAUUUUCUUUUCUCUUGGGCUUUGAACAUUCUCAUAUUACUAUUAUUACAUUAUGAAUAUUGUAUAUUUCUUUUGUUAUCAUACAAUUAGUACCCAAUUAGCUCCUUUAUACAGUUGGGAUGGUAAAAAGCCUUUAAAAUUUUGAAUCUACCAGGCUCGGUCUAAGAUCUCAGGUAACAGAUUAUCUGCAUCUUGGAAGGGAUCAAACUCUGGUGUAUUGAUAGAUUAGUCACUAGUCAAAUCCAAUCAGGUUUAAACUCAUGAUGCAGUAAUAGUCAAAACUUUAUAAAACCAUACAUACGAGUAUAUAAACCCCUCAACGGGUGAAAAACAACAAAAGAAAAAAAAAAACACACAACCUCUUGGAGAUUUCUACUUUAUAGCAAAAAUACUCAUGUUGGUCGGAAAACUAUGAAACCAGCGAAGAAUCCUACUCAACGAUUCCGGCACCUUCAAUGUCAACUUCACCCAUCCCUGUGUCCUCCUCUUCUUCUUCAUUGCCGCUGAUUUCUUCAUUGUCCAUUCUUAGCUUAGCCAUGUGUUCUGUCAGCAUCGUUCACUCACCUGUCAAAACACAUUAGAUGAAACCAAUAUUUAAGACUCCACAAAUAAAGGAAAGCUAGUUCUUGUAAUAUGCAACUUGGGAUGGUUCAACAACUAAAGAAGAAGAUACUCACAGCCCUAGGUGCCUCCUUAACGACGAGCUUGCCCUUGUGUUGAUCAAUUGUCUCGGUGCAAGCUGCUAUGGCUUCCGUUAGAAUUUCAAUCCCUUGGUCCUGUUUAAUUAUGUUAUUAGUCACUGACAAGAUUAAAUACAAUAUAUAGCUUCAAAAUAAGAGAUUGUCACUUCUUCCGUAACAGCAGGUACAACUUUAGUCACCUACAAAUAGAAAUAUCCCAAGAUCAGAACCAUUACCAACAACUAAAACGAAGCCAGAGAAGAAAGUAAUAUACCUCCUGCCCAUCAGGCCCAACUUCUUUGAUCUCACGUGUGAGUGAACCCAACACAGAAUCGGGAUCUUGAAGGCCUGAAAAAAAAAACAAAACUAAGUAACAAAUAUCUACAUGAAUACAACAAAGGCUCAACUCAAAAGCAUGACCAUGUUUCCGGUACCCAAUGUUCACAUACAACUCCUGCAAUAGCAAAAACUCAAAUCAUUGUACAUAAAUGUAGCUACUUUACGCUAUAUACAUUUAUUUUCAUAAUCAAUAUCACUAAAGAUUCAAUUUUUAUCUACUCAAACUCAAAGUAAGCUACAUUGGUAGUGAGCUUCAGAGAGUAAACACCAAACACGAGCUUAAUCCCAUGAAGCAGAUUUUACUGUUCCAGAAGCAUCUGAUUGAAAUGCCAUGUACCUGAAGAUCAUCACCACAAACAUUCCAAAAGAUACAAAUUAGAAACCGAGACUGAAGCAUGAAGUGCACAGGAUGAAUCAAAUGAUGUAUACAAAAAUGCUCAUGCCAGUUGAGCUACUGUGGGUUUGGGCUUGACUCCGGUUACAGUAAAAGCCCAAUCAUAACGUCUUCAGGCCCAAUAGUUCUGCUACACCGUUUUGACGAUUAUAAACGUCUAACGGAUUCAACGUCUCUGCAAUUCUGUUACAGACGACGAGAACUGAGAAGAGAGAAUCGAAGAGAAAGAGUUUCACCUGGGUGAUUGAUCGGAGACUGAAGUGGAAGAAGCUCCGGUGGUGUAUGGUUCGCGGAGGAUAGCAGAGGAGAAACGUCCUUGAUUCCGCCAUGGAAACUCACGAGCAGCGGAAGACGAAGAAACCGUCUUGAGAAGCAUUUUUGACCGUUGAGAUGCUUUCGCCAGAAAAGUGGACAAGGAUGAUGAAGAAGAAGACCGAUGGAGGGGGUGAUGAUGAUGAGGCUGUGGAUCGUUGACACGUGUAUGGACACGAUUGAUACAUAGGUUAAUGCGCGUGGAGAGCUUGUGGUUAUUUUAUCAUCGAUAUUCCCGUGAACAGAGAUGAAUAUCAUGGCCCUAUUUGUUUUUUUUUUUUUUGUAUUUAAUAUUGAUGCAUAUUUUUUCUUCUUUUAUGUGAAUUAAGUACUUUCA
rnacentral:lncRNA from 1 species